GCUUGGAUGGCUCAGUUGGUUAGAGCGCAGGUCUCAUAUUAUUAAUAUGAGUGAUCAGCUGAUCAUCAAAUCCUGAGGUCGUGAGUUCGACCCUCACUCCGAGCA